rnacentral:rRNA from 1 species
UCGGGAAUUUUGCGCAAUGGGCGAAAGCCUGACGCAGCAACGCCGCGUGAGGGAUGAAGGCCUUCGGGUUGUAAACCUCUUUUGUCAGGGACGAUGAUGACGGUACCUGACGAAUAAGUCACGGCUAACUACGUGCCAGCAGCCGCGGUAAUACGUAGGUGACAAGCGUUGUCCGGAUUUACUGGGCGUAAAGAGCGCGCAGGCGGUCGUUCAAGUCGAGUGUGAAAGCCCCCGGCUCAACUGGGGAGGGUCACUCGAUACUGAUCGACUCGAAGGCAGGAGAGGGUAGUGGAAUUCCCGGUGUAGUGGUGAAAUGCGUAGAUAUCGGGAGGAACACCAGUGGCGAAGGCGACUACCUGGCCUGUUCUUGACGCUGAGGCGCGAAAGCUAGGGGAGCAAACGGGAUUAGAUACCCCGGAAGUCCUAGCCGUAAACGAUGGACACUAGGUGUUGGUGGUAUCAACCCCGCCAGUGCCGAAGCUAACGCAUUAAGUGUCCCGCCU